AUUUUCAAAUUUUAUUGGUUUUUCUAUGCCUUAGAUGAAUGCAGACUCAAGAGUAUAUACAAUGCAACACACACUUCCUGAUCCCUCCCCCAAACUUAAAUCACACAGUCCACUGUGUGACUAAACUUGGAAGAGAGUCCUCAAGACAAAUCAAAUCACAGAAACAAAAUAAAAAAACAAAUCACAAGAGAUGGUAUAAUACAAUGGUGAAGUGAGGCGCUUACCUAAGUCGAAUAAUGAACGAAGUUGGUCGUCAAUGCUGCCUGUGAUUGCUCCCAGGCCAUUGACGAGUCGCCCUAUUCUAUAUCAGCUCCAGCGUGUGGGUACUCGACCUCAUCAGCUAUGUGGCGGCCAACACCGCUCGUAGGAUACCUGACCUCUCUCCUUCUGCUGCGGCCAGCACUGUGGUCGCGUAAACUUCGAGAUUAUAGAAGUCUUCUUCUCCUGGUGCUAGAUCGAGUGAGCGUGGUCCUCCUCUUUCUCCCAGAUUCAUGAGGCUCGAAUGAUGAAUGCCUCGCAGGCACAUGCGAAACCUCUUGCUCACUAGGCUAUGGCUCGUCAUAUCUCCUCGAGGGCAUGUCCUGAGGGAGCUGGCCCUGCGGAAUAGCUGUAGUGGCAGAGGAGCAGCUUAGCUUGUCCUUAAGAAACUUGAUAGCCUUGAAGAACUUGGCGAGUUACUUAUCCUGUUUCUUGCACCACUUCUAUAACUUGCUGUUGUUCUUGUGAGCUUCACUAAAACUCUUGCUCUCCCUCGCUGGAGGUACAUGCUCACUGAAAUGAUACAUUCUCGUGUCAAACUCUACUUCAUCUGUUUCAUCCGUCUUAUCAACCUCUUCUGUUGUAGCUCCUUCCGUGUGAGUGAUCUCCUUAGUUGGCAAACUGCCCUCGAAAUAAAGAUCUUCAAGCGCAGGCUUGAAGUCAAUGUUCCUUCCCUCGAGAAUCCUAGUAGCGUCAAUGUAGAGGCGAAGUCGCCAACCAUGUCAUGCUCCAAGAACUCACAUUGACGCAAAUGAUCCAAAUCCAUCAUUCUCGGUUCUAACCUUGGUUCCUUCAGCGGUACUCCACAAGCUACCAGAAUUGGCGUCACAACGCCACCUACGCAUAGUGCUCCUCUCACCUUCUUCUUGCCGUUUGUCAACGUCCACAUCCUGUAUCCACACAAGUGGAUCAACAUAAGCAUUACUAGUGACGCGUCAUUGAGAUCGCCUCUCAGGACCUUCUUUCCCUUUGUACGGCGGAGAAUGCUUGUAAGUGCGGAAUCUAUCAUCUCCAUGUCUAUGUUAGACACAGUGCCUGUAGACUCCCUGGAGUAAAGAACAUUGGCAAACGAGCGCUGAAAGUAGCGAAUCACAGGAAUUCAGAUUUGGUUGGUCUUGGACCGCACAGAGUUUAGCGGUACAUUGUUGCCAAUAGUAGCCCACAAAUCCUUAAGCUCUUCCCUGUCAAACUUAGGCUUGGUUCCCUUUCCACUAGGGAAGCCAAACAGUUCUUCCAACUUCUUGAUCAACAACUGAUAGCGAUGCUCAUCCAUUGGUAUCCAGCUCAAAUUCUGUGAGACCCUGAUACAUCUCCACUUGCAUUGUGGAGAGAAACUCGAUCGUUUCCUCCUUGUAGGCAGCGUAUGGGUAAGACAUGAGUGUCUCCAGAUGACACUUCUCAAACAGAUGCUGCACGUCCUCCAGUAGCCCAGCGGGGCUAAAGUCUCGUAGCAAGGAUACCUCGUUCCCCAUAAAUCGUUCAGCUCAAAGAGUCGUAUAUUCUCUUCGAAUGGAACCUCAUCGGGUUUGUUCAACAGCUUUGUCUCCUUGCGCUAUGACUCUGGCUCAUACUCAGUCUUGAUGUCCUCAUCAAUCAACUCAUACCUACUCGACUUCGCUCUCUUUCCUCUAGCGAUUUCAGCUCUUCUCUGACUACGUCGAGCUGCUGAGCGUUCUAUUUCUUCACGGAAGCUCUUGUAAGCAUGUUCUUCUCUCUCUGGUCUAGUGGACCAAGAUUCAGCUUCAUCCACAAUAUACUCUUGAUCCAUAGAAGACUCACUACUGUAGUUACGCAUGUUGAUUUCCUGUAAACAGAUGGAACUCAAAGAGAAACGUUAAUACGUUAGCUCCAACGAAACCAAAAACACUAAAGCACACAGUCGAGUGAGUAAGUCGAGUAAUAACCGGUCGAGAGAUUUUGUUGGUUUUGGAAAUCGAAUUCGUCUUGCUUAUUUGUGAACCGAUCGAGUGUAUGGUUGAGUAAUAACCGGCGUCGUUGAUUUAAAGAAGACUUGGUCAGCGAUCGAGUGAGCUUGAAAACCGAUGAUGGCGAAGAGAACCUCACUGUGGUCGAGUGAACUCCAGGAUUGGUGAGAAGAAGACUUCGCCUGGUAAGGAGGCCGAGUAGCUUCUUUCUCCUUUUCUCUUGUGAAGCGAUCGAGUAUAUACUCCUCUUCUUCUCCGUGGUUGAAUUUGGGGAACCGGUCGAGUGAUUGAAACAAAACGAUUGAAGAUGAUGAAGCGAUGAGAGUGAGGUCGAGUGAUGAGGAGGUUGUUGUUGAGCGACAAAGUAAGAGGGUUGGAUCGAGUGGUGUACUUCGCGAUCGAGUGGAUUGAGAGCAGCUUCGUUCUCGUUUCUCCGUUGAGUAUGUCGAGUGAUAAGGCGAUGGAGAGAUGGCGUGGUUUGGUCAAGGGUCGGUGAGGAAGAUGGUGAUCAGAGAUCGAGUGAAGUUGUUGAAGUUGGAGAGUGAUGAAUUCAGAGCAAAAGAGAAGACGGUGUUUUUUUCGAUGAGAGAUGGCACCAGCUUGGUCGAGUGGAUUGGUGCGGUCGAGUGGUGGUAGUGAUGGUGUUGUUUUGUGGCUGUCGAAUGAAUGGGGUCGGUGAAGCUGGUCGUGGUCGAGUGAAGAACUUGGUGAACUUGAGAGUGAGUGACGAUGAGAGAUGAGAGAGGUGCGGUCGAGUCUAGGUUGCGGAAAAACUGAGGUAGAAAUGCUUGUUGAGGUCGAGUGAAGAGUGAAGGUAAGGGCGAUUUGAAGAGAUGGAGGUCGAGUGAUGAUAAGGGUAAGGGUAAGGUAUGGUUGGUUGAGAAGAGAUGAGGGAGAUCUCUUGUCUGUUGGUUAGGAGCGUGGGAGACAUAGGGUGCAGUGGUGGGUCUCACGGUUGUCUCUUUGUUCUUAAUCAUUGCUCUGUCUUCACUAGGAAAACCUGAGGAAAUCCGGCAAUCCACUGUAAACUUGAUAAACUCCCUGUAAUACUCUGUAGCUUCUGUUGGUCGAGUAUAAUAAUGAUUUAAAAAUUUUUGGGUUUUAAACAUCACACAUACUCGACUGAUGUACUCGAAUGCAAGGUCUCCACGUGCAACAAAAAGUUUUCAAAAUUUUGCACUCCACUGGGCUAUACACUCGAUCUUCAGGCCUUUUGUAGAGUAAGAGUUUUGAAUUUUUACUCUAUCUCCACGUUGUUCCUUUGUUACUGAGAACCACAAACACAACUAAAACAAAUCAAAAAUAACAAGAAAAUAAAAAUUUAUUUACAGAGAUAGUCAUGGGACUUCCUCCCAAGUGAGCUUGUUUAAAGUCUCUCGCUUGAUUAAGAAGAAAAUGGGUAAUACAGAGGGUCUGCAUUGUCCUCUCUGAUAUCAUCAUCAUAUUCAACGUCCUCUCUGGAGAGGUGUGCAGCAGAAUACUCAAUUCCCCUUUCUUCAAAGUAGGCUUCUUUCUCUCGUGGAGGGUAAUCUAUCUCUUCGGACCAUCUUGAAGUGAACUUUUUUCUUGGGAUAAUGUCAAUCCCGCCUUUAGGCUGAGCUUCCUUUUGCAUCUGAUUCAGCUUACUCUUAAGUUCCUCAACAAUGUGGGCUAGCUCCUCUAUAGUUUUUUCUUGUUUAUCAGACCUCUUUUUAAGUUCUUUUACGCUCUUAGUCUCAGAUCCUUCUCCUGGGAUCACUCUAUCGUCUUCAGAGGUUUUUCCAUCUUCUGUUGACCUUUGUGGAGUUUUGUUGAUGUCAAACUGAAGCUUGAUGUGAUUUCCAAGGUUGAGAUUUAUUUUCACUUCCCUGACAUCUAUCACUGCUCCCACUGAGGCUAAGAAAGGUCUUUCCAAGAUUAGAUGAUCCUUAUGUUCUUCUUUCAAUCUAGCACAACGAAGUUUGUAGGCACUUCCACUCCAUUAAUUAUGACGGGUAAAUCUUUUAGCAUGCCAAAGGGUUUUCUUGAAGACCUAUCCGGAAGGCGGAAAGUCAGGUCACAAGGCAUGUACUGAAUGAAUUCCAACCUCCUUGCCACAGAGAGUGGCAUUAAACUGACAGAGGCUCCGAGAUCGCACAGGCAAUUGCUGAAAGCUAAUUCCCCAAUGGAACAUGGUAGAGUACAAGAUCCAGGAUCUUCUAAUUUUUCUUGAACAAUCCUCUUAUCAGCAGCUCGAGAUGGAUUAGCAUCACAUUCAUCAUCUGAAUCGUGAUACAUCUUGAUCCUUUCCAGUAUCAGAUUUCUCACAUCUUUGUGAGGAUCAUGAAUCACGUUGAGAACUUCCAUAAGCGGCAUCACUACUUCAAUCUCGUUAAGCUGUUUCUCUGCAACAGAUUUGUAUCUCUCCAUCCAGGCUUUCCUGAAUUUCCAUGGUAAAGCACGUGAGGGUAAUGGAGUAGGUUUGAAUCGUUUUGCCAUUCUCUCAAUUAUGGCUACUUUCUCUUCCGAGGUGGAUUGAAUGAGAUGGUGAGAACCAGCAGAGUGGUUGAAUUCAACAACAGAGACCUUAACCUGAGUAGAAGCCUCUCCUUCUUGAACAUCAUUGUCCCAGUGAUUAAGUUAGGAACAUGUCUAGUUGGCAGCUCUCGAUCAUGGCAGAUAGUGAUCGCGUUAACAGUUGCAUACUCCUUUUGAUUCUGUAUGGGCUUCCCUGGAAGUCCUGUAACUUUGGGCGCAGAGGUAGAUGCUGAUUGGCCUUCCAAAUAUCUGACUUUGGUAUUCAAUGCCUCCACUUUGGCAUUCAGGUCAUUGUACCUGCAGUCCAUUGAGCUAGAUGCUUGUUCUUGUAGCAGCUGUUGUGCCAUUUGUUUCAUGUUAGCGUCAGGAGCGGGAGGACCUUGGUGUUGUUGAGGUGCAAACCUAGGUGGUGGUUGCUGCUGGUAGUUCCCUGAAAUUGCUGCUUGGAAACAAAAUCUUGCUUGUAGGGAACAAAAGGUUUGUUAUGACCUUGUUGUCGUUGUGGAGGAUACACUUGAUCCUGAGGAUUAGCAAUGUUGGUGCUGCGAUAAGAGAGGUUGGGGUUGUUAGUCUUGAAGUUGUUGUAUCCUUUGUAGCCACUUUGAUUAUUGAUGUAGCUAACUUCUUCUAACUGAUUCCCCUCCCCAUCUUGGACCUGAUACUGCUCGUCAUCAACAAGGAAGUGCACAUGCUUCUGCUGGCUAAGAAGAAUCUUGUCCUGCUUGUCAUUCAACGCUUUGAUCUCCUUCCUAUGUUUGUCAUCCGAGUCAGUUGUGCCUCUGAUGGUCCUCUCGCAGUCCUUGUUGUAAUUAUCAUUUGAUUGAGCUAGGUUCUCAAUCAAUUCCCAUCCUUCUUCAACAUCUUUGUUCUGGAAAUUUUCAUUGCUGGCGGUAUCCAGAAGCAUUCUGAUGCGUGGUAAAACUCCUCUGUAUAGAGUGCUGAGUAGAGAGGCUUUCUUGAAGCCAUGAUGAGGGCAUUGGUUGGUGUAACCCUUGAAACGCUCCCAUGCUUCACAGAAGCUUUCACCAGUCUUCUGUGAAAAACUAGAAAU
rnacentral:sRNA from 1 species